rnacentral:lncRNA from 1 species
UCAUACAUUUUUUUAUUGACAGGGGGGCAACCAUUCCUGCAGGAACUAAGCACAUGCACGAAUGGCUGAGAAUUUAGAACUCCUCACAGCAGGCUCGUGCCUUCAUUUUGCCAUGACUUUAUUUGUUCACCAUACACCGAACAGGGGAAGAGAAUACAGAUUCAGUUUGGACAGACAGACAUCUGAUGACACAUACAGCAAAAACUCUCAUCAUCGAGUGACCCAGGACACAAACUAGGAGGAGUUUUUACAAUCAGGAACACACAGACUUGACAGACAUCACAUGCUAGGCAGUCCUCGACUAGUCGACUACAUGCAAAAACACAGUUAACUGUUCACAAACAUAACUAAUGAACGCAGCAACUGAUGAACACAAAGCCAUCGUACAACCGAGAUGAACAAGUGGGCAACGCGCACUAGAAAAUUCUCAAACUGAACCAUACUGAAAAUGCAAUUCUAGUCAAGAUGCAAUAACACCCAGAGGUGAGGCAUGGUGCAGCUGUUGCGGCGGUGACCCUCAACACCAUAGUUCUUGCAUCUUGCAGGCUUCAAGCGUGAUAUUGAGUUUCAGUCUAUAGGUCUGCAUUUUUCCGCAGGCUCGGCUGUGUCGCUUCUUCAACUUUCAUCGCUCAUAUCUGAGGAGGAUGAGCACUCAGCAGAUAGCCCGUGCUCAGCAGCAAGUCGUCCGGCACCAUGUGCACCAGCGCAACCAAGCAGGCUAGAUAGCUCCGUCUCCCAACCAUCAGCAGGUUCAGUCCAACCUGUCCACGGAGACCAUGGUGGUUCAAUUUCUUCGGCUAUGUCCACUACCUCAGCUGAUUCAAUUUCUUCGGCCGUUAGCAAACAAGAACAACAAAAGUACUAGCACUGGAAUUUCUUUUGUUUUUGCCAGCAACGAUCAAAAAGUCAAAUCACUUAACAAUGCACAUCAUAUUCUCAGUUUGCAAAUGAUUAUUGCUGCAUAUUUCAGAUCUAAAUACAGUCGAAUGGGAUUGAGGUUCGCACCUUUUCGUCCAUCCUGGGGCCUGGGGGUUGACUCUGUAUGUGGACUGCGCCGACCUAGUCGGUGAUGAUUUCCGACGCCGGCAGACUCUGUCUCGUGCUUUCUCAGGUCCCUCUUCCCCGAGCCGCUGACCGCAUGCAGACCCAGCAUUUGAGUCUUCGGGUCGCUACAGUUCGUUCCUCCGGUGGGAAGCAAGAUCAGGGGAACCUCGUAAUGGUUUUGGUGGAAUGUGAAACAAAUCACACGAAAUACCCAGAUCUACAAGAACUGACCUGUCGACGGCGUCGAGAAGAAACUCCAUACCCACAUCCUCCAUUAUCCUUGUCCCCGGGUGGCCGGAAGUAUCGCCGCCGCGGCUCAGCUUUUCAAUCCUUAUCUGAUCCGUGGCUCAGCGGAAGUUGGACUUUUCUGGUUCACGGACCAGGACGGGAGCGCCCGUCCGCCGUCCCAGCCAUACAAAACAACCCCACGAUUUCGCAACUGUUUCUU